CCUAGUGAUCGAAUGGGCUCAAAAUCAACAAAUUUCAAUGGCCGUAGUGAGCCGUUUGCAAGUUUAAUGGUGUAAAAAUAUCCAAAUCAUGUAAAAUUUUGAUAGAAAUUCUUUAUACUAUGUAAAACAAGAUCAAUAUCUUUGAUUUAAAAUUUUAAUGUCAUAUUAUUACAUUUUGUAAGAUUUUUAUUUUCAGCCGUUGAUUUUGAGCCCCUUCGUUCACUAGGCAAAUGAUAUUAUAAAAUCAUAAAAUUUAUUUUCUAGGUACUUCAAAUACUCUAGAUCAAGUUUAAUUUAACGGAGCCGAUCGACGAUUCGAAAGUCGCAACAUCGAAAACGAGUUGGAAGUACGGAAGGCUCCGUGCUUCUAAUAGCAUAGUAGCCUCUAUGCUAUCGGAAGAGAGAGAGAGAGUCCGGCUAUGGUGCUUUUUAAAAAAGUACUUAGUGUCGGUAAGCUUUUCGUCGUUAAAUUUAUUUUUUUAACCUUUUUUAUAUGUUAGAUUAUACUAUUCAAUCAACCACUUAUUCAACUCUAUGGAAUUACUAUCAUCCUAACCGCAUAUCCUUUAAUCCAAGAGCCGAAACCAAUAACUUAGGUAUUUUAAAAAACAUAAAAGCUCAAUUCUAUAUAUAUAUAUAUAUAGUC
rnacentral:lncRNA from 1 species